UUGCAGCCAAUUAAACCAACUAUGCUCUUUUCCCCGCGGGGGCCACGUGUGCAAUGGCUGCAAACAGCAGCCUCCUCAGUAGUGUAUGCAGCCUGUUGCCUGUAUGUGUUGCCCUAAGGGACCCUGGAGACAGCC
ensembl:snoRNA SNORA70 Small nucleolar RNA SNORA70